rnacentral:tRNA from 1 species
GGGGACGUGGCGGAACUGGCAUACGCGUACGGCUUAGGACCGUAUUCCGAAAGGAUUGUGGGUUCAACUCCCACCGUCCCCACCA